UAGGGAAUCUUCCGCAAUGGACGCAAGUCUGACGGAGCAACGCCGCGUGAGUGAAGAAGGAUUUCGGUUCGUAAAACUCUGUUGUUAGAGAAGAACAGCGCAUAGAGUAACUGUUAUGCGUGUGACGGUAUCUAACCAGAAAGACACGGCUAACUACGUGCCAGCAGCCGCGGUAAUACGUAGGUGGCAAGCGUUGUCCGGAUUUAUUGGGCGUAAAGCGAGCGCAGGCGGUCAAUUAAGUCUGAUGUGAAAGCCCCCGGCUCAACCGGGGAGGGUCAUUGGAAACUGGUUGACUUGAGUGCAGAAGAGGAGAGUGGAAUUCCAUGUGUAGCGGUGAAAUGCGUAGAUAUAUGGAGGAACACCAGUGGCGAAGGCGACUCUCUGGUCUGUAACUGACGCUGAGGUACGAAAGCGUGGGUAGCAAACAGG
rnacentral:rRNA from 1 species